ACUCCUACGGGAGGCAGCAGCAAGGAAUAUUCCCCAAUGGGCGAAAGCCUGAACCAGCCAUCCCGCGUGCAGGAAGACGGCUUAUGGGUUGUAAACUGCUUUUCCACGCGAAUAAACGGCCCUACGUGUAGGGGGCUGUCAGUAGCGUAGGAAUAAGCACCGGCUAACUCCGUGCCAGCAGCCGCGGUAAUACGGAGGAUCCAAGCGUUAUCCGGAUUUAUUGGGUUUAAAGGGUGCGUAGGCGGGAAAGUAAGUCAGUGGUGAAAAACUGCGGCUCAACUGUAGUCGUGCCAUUGAUACUGCUUGUCUUGAGUAUGGAUGAGGUAGGCGGAAUGUGCGAUGUAGCGGUGAAAUGCUUAGAUAUGAUACAGAACACCAAUUGCGAAGGCAGCUUACUAAUCCACGUCUGACGCUGAGGCACGAAAGCGUGGGGAGCAAACAGGAUUAGAUACCCUGGUAGUCCACGCAGUAAACGAUGAUCACUCGCUGUUUGCGAUACACAGUCAGCGGCUUAGCGAAAGCAUUAAGUGAUCCACCUGGGGAGUACGAUCGCAAGAUUGAAACUCAAAGGAAUUGACGG
rnacentral:rRNA from 1 species